CAUUAACAAAUUCCAAAACUCGUGUUUUUGACGCACUUUCUCCCCAAAAGAGAGGUGCGUCAAAGAUUAACACACAAACACACUCACAUUUAACAUUGACAACCAAUGGAGAACCAAUUAAUCAAUUAAUUGUUUAAACAACUUUUAACAAUGGAUCUCUUGGCUCUUGCAUCGAUA
rnacentral:misc_RNA from 1 species